AUACGUAGGGUGCAAGCGUUAAUCGGAAUUACUGGGCGUAAAGCGUGCGCAGGCGGUUUUGUAAGACAGUGGUGAAAUCCCCGGGCUCAACCUGGGAACUGCCAUUGUGACUGCAAGGCUGGAGUGCGGCAGAGGGGGAUGGAAUUCCGCGUGUAGCAGUGAAAUGCGUAGAUAUGCGGAGGAACACCGAUGGCGAAGGCAAUCCCCUGGGCCUGCACUAACGCUCAUGCACGAAAGCGUGGGGAGCAAACAGGAUUAGAUACCCUGGUAGUCCACGCCCUAAACGAUGUCAACUGGUUGUUGGGGAUUUAUUUUCUCAGUAACGAAGCUAACGCGUGAAGUUGACCGCCUGGGGAGUACGGCCGCAAGGUUAAAACUCAAAGGAAUUGACGGGG
rnacentral:rRNA from 1 species